UGGUAGACCCGUAUUGGCCGGUUGGGACCAAGAAUCACUUUUAGCGGCGUCUUUUCCUGACGAUAACUUUUCCCCUGGCCUACUACUCAAAGAAAACGCCGAGAUCAGAGAACCAGUCCGGAUGUUUUGAAUCUUGAAGACCAAUCUUCGAAAAAAGAAAUUUUAGAAGAGAAGAAUGAUGUGGAUGUUAAUGGCAAGAAAGUUGAGAAAUCAAAUGGGUCGAAUUCGAGAAACGCUGUGAUUCCUUGCAUUGAUCAGCUUCGAGUCUUGUGCAAUUUGUUUAGAGAUAUGUUUUGAACCGAGCACCACUUCUUGUGGGCAUAACUUUUGUAAGAACUGUUUGAGAUUUGCCGCGGAUAAAUGUGGGAACCGUUGCCCAAAGUGCAGGCAACUUAUCAGCAAUGGAAGAUCUUGCACCAUUAAUACAGGUUUAUGGAACACGAUACAACUUUUGUUUCCACAAGAAAUAGAGGCAAGAAAAGCAUUGGGUCGAGGUUCAAACAUCUUAGAAUCCGGCGACAUUCAACGCCCGCCACCAAGGAGUAGAAACCAAUUCAGUAUUGAAGCGUUUUAUAGUCCUCAAGCAGAACAGUUAAGUAUGGAAAGGAGGCAAAGGACUAGUAAUCAUUUAAUAGGUCCGAGACAGAGGAGUUCACGUCCUGCUUCUGUUGUGAUACUAAACAACAAAGAAGCGGGGGGUAGUAGUAGUGCGGGCUUGAGGAGACUGCGGUCUGUUGCAACGGCUUCAGAGGGCAAUGGCAUCAAGAGCUAUUAGUAUUGCUAACAUGUGUGGCCGUUAAAUGUUGUGGUUAACAUAGGAAACAACAUUAGUCUCCGAGGAAAGGUUUCACUAAAUCAAAUUAGUUGCAAUUAAUUUGAUUUACUAAAACCUUUCUUGUUGUACAUUUAAUUUAAAUUUUAGCUCAUUUAUUUACUAAAACCUUUCUUGUCGCACUUGUUAGCACUACUCUCAGUCUCACACAGUAAGAAUUGUGUUAACUGCAUACUCUAGUAACCAUGUCAAAACAUCUGUAGUUAGACUCUGGUA